GAUAAACGCUAGCGGCAGGCUUAACACGUGCAAGUCGAGGGGCAGCAUAGAUUGUAGCAAUACAAUUGGUGGCGACCGGCGCACGGGUGCGUAACGCGUAUGCAACCUACCCGUCACAGGGGGAUAAUCUGGAGAAAUCUGGUCUAAUACCCCAUAACAUAUGGAUCGGCAUCGGUUCAUGUUGAAAUUUUCGGAGGUGACGGAUGGGCAUGCGUAGCAUUAGCUUGUUGGUGAGGUAACGGCUCACCAAGGCGACGAUGCUUAAGGGGACUGAGAGGUUUUCCCCCCACACUGGUACUGAGACACGGACCAGACUCCUACGGGAGGCAGCAGUGAGGAAUAUUGGUCAAUGGGCGCAAGCCUGAACCAGCCAUGCCGCGUGCAGGAUGACGGCUCUAUGAGUUGUAAACUGCUUUUGUACGAGGGUAAAGUGGGUUACGUGUAACCUUUUGAAAGUAUCGUACGAAUAAGGAUCGGCUAACUCCGUGCCAGCCGCCGCGGUAA
rnacentral:rRNA from 1 species